rnacentral:tRNA from 1 species
GGAGGAGUCGCAUAGUUGGUCCAUUGCGGGAGUUUGCUAAAUUCCUGAGCUGAAUAAGCUCGCGUGAGUUCAAAUCUCACCUCCUCCG